rnacentral:rRNA from 1 species
CCUACGGGAGGCAGCAGUGAGGAAUAUUGGACAAUGGGCGCAAGCCUGAUCCAGCCAUGCCGCGUGCAGGAAGAAGCAUCUAUGGUGUGUAAACUGCUUUUGUACAGGAAGAAACACUCCCUCGUGAGGGAGCUUGACGGUACUGUAAGAAUAAGGACCGGCUAACUCCGUGCCAGCAGCCGCGGUAAUACGGAGGGUCCGAGCGUUAUCCGGAAUCAUUGGGUUUAAAGGGUCCGUAGGCGGUUUAAUAAGUCAGUGGUGAAAUCUGGUCGCUCAACGAUCAAACGGCCAUUGAUACUGUUAGACUUGAAUUAUAAGGAAGUAACUAGAAUAUGUAGUGUAGCGGUGAAAUGCUUAGAUAUUACAUGGAAUACCAAUUGCGAAGGCAGGUUACUACUUAUGGAUUGACGCUGAUGGACGAAAGCGUGGGGAGCGAACAGGAUUAGAUACCCUGGUAGUCCACGCCGUAAACGAUGGAUACUAGCUGUUCGGAGCAAUCUGAGUGGCUAGCGAAAGUGAUAAGUACUCCCACUGGGAGUACGUUCGCAAGAAUGAAACUCGAAAGGAUUGACGGCUGAGACGAGACGACGACGACGACGAGGGAGGAGG